UAUGAAAAAAUUACACGUGAGAGUGAGAGAUCUGGGAGAGUGACUUUUUUUUCUUGUGGAAUAGUUUUUUCUGAGUUUUUCUUCCUUUAUUUAUACUACAAAACUAAAAUUAGAUUAAACUAAAACUAGGUUAAUCAAAAGUGAAAAGAAAAUCAAAUAAUAAAAAUGACCCAAUUAAAACUUAUUUGAUUCUGAUUUUUUUUUACUAAUUUGAGAAAAUUAUAUCUCAAUUUUCAAAAUCUUUACUUAGUUCUUA
rnacentral:lncRNA from 1 species